rnacentral:lncRNA from 1 species
AAGUCACUUUCCUUCUAUCCAUAAAUCUUCCACCAUGUGGCUGUGCUGGAGUCUCUCUGAGCCUACUCUGGCUUGGAAGACUGCCUGAUUUGCUAAUCAUUCUUUGCUCAAAUUAAACUCUGUUAAAUUUAGUUAGUCCAGGGUUUUUUUUUUGUUUGUUUUUUUAAAAUCAAAUCUUCAGUGACUCUUUAUGGUGGUCAAUUAUGGCCAGGAUGGAUAGGAGACUACCAUGCAGAAAAGUAUGAGAGAGACUUGAAAACCAUGCAGUGAUCUUUAAAACCCUCUGAAUAUGUAUUUUCAAAUGCUGCUUUCAUAAGUCAUUAACCAUAAUUUAUUGAAUGUGUACUAUGUGUAUGGCAUUGUACUAGAUCCUUUAUAAACCAUAUAGAAUUUUUAUAGUAACCUUGAAAAGUAUGUGUUAUUAUAUCCACUGUACAUAUUGGGGGGACUGGAGGCUUAGAAAGUGGAAGUCGAGGCUUGCACACACUUAUUAUGAAAGGCCAGCUGGCAUGAUAGUGGUUCACCCUGAACAGCAGAUGGAACUGAUAACAGGCCCAUUAAAUUAUGGGCCAAAUAGUUUGCAACCUUAAGAAAUCCCUGUGAAAUGUUCAUAGAAUAUUAACUUCUUAUCUUAUCAAAGAAAAUUUUAACCCAUUGAAAUAUAAGAUUUGUGUUAGGGUCUGAAUGGCCAACCAUUUUUUUUUUUCUGUAUGUGUUUGAGAAUAAUGUGUUUUGCAAUUUUUACAUGCAGUAUUUUAUAUAAGCUUAUGGUACAGCUUGUUUAUUGUAUAAUUUAAAACUUCCUUGUCCUUACUAACUUUUGUCUGUUUAUUCUAUUGCUAAAAGUGGUAUAGUAAAUACACUACAAUAAUGCAUUUGUCAAUUUAUCUUUAGUUAUGUCACUUUCUGCUUCAUAUAUUUUGAGACCAUGUUAUUAGGUACAUAAAAUAUAAUAAUUAUAUUUUUUUCUGGCAAACUGAAGCUUAUUAUAAAUGACCCUCUUUGUUGCGAGUAAUGCCUUUUGCAUUUACAACUGAUGGAGACAGGACGCAGCCAAAAGUCCCUGGUGAAACCCCGCCUUCAAGCCUAAAACAGCCUGAAGGAUGAAAAACCAGACUUCUGGUGCCUGAUGAAGCCUGCCCUUUCCUGACUGAUUCUAAAUAAUGCCUACCUGCCAACUGGGAAGGCAGGGUGGAGCCUUCGGAAAUUCAUGACCUUCGCAGGGGAGAGGAGCUUGGCCUCUCCUAUUCCUGUGUGGUGACCUGGGAUUCAAACUGUGAGGCGGAAAACCUGCUAGCAGGAGUCUCGCUUUGCUGAGAGUUAUUUUUCUUUUCCUUUUUAUCCAAUAAAUUCCGUCUUCUCACGCUUCUAUGUGUCUGUGACCCUACUCUUUCCUGGUCGUGUGACAAGAGCCUGGUUUUAGCUGACCUAAGAAGAAAGUUCUGCAACAUUUUUGGUGUCCAGACGUGAGUCUUGAGGAAGGACAAGUACAGACAAUCACCAGGAACUAAGGAACAAGAAGCAUCCAACCCUGCAUCUGUGGGUUUCCUGAGGUGACUCUCAAUUGUCAUAGGGGUGAAGAGUGAGUGAGGAAACCCUUGGAGCACUUGUUUGCUUCACAGACAUCCUGACCUCCUUUCAACUGUAAAGACUUAGUCAGAGGACGGCGGCUCCCUCAGCCUCAUUCUGCAGUUCCAAUGACACUUUUUACAAAGGCUCUGUACUUGUCUGAUUCUUAAAUAUUCCAGUUUUUGAACUUUGCUGCAGUAGUUGUAUUCGAAAUGGGUUAAUUGUCUCAUUUUCUUUUUAAUGCCUACUCUUUCAAGGCUCAAAUCUUGAAUAGGUCAAAAAGAGCAAGAGGAAAAUGUCAGAGAAUGGAGAAAGGCAAAUACAGAGAAGCAGUGUGAACAUCCACCCGGCGAGGUGACCUGAUGGUGCUGCUCCAUGUCAGAGACAGUAGUGUCUGGGAAGAGGGAGCCCUUUCCACAGGGUGGAGCAAAAGGCCUGGAGCUGACACCUGGCUCCUGGGCCCACUCGCCCACCACCUCGAGCAACUCCCUUCCUUAACGUCUGCCCGAGUGUUAAGGGCUGAGCACAUGACCUCACAGGAGGAUGUGAGGGGCAGCGGUAACAUGUGUCUAGCACUUUGUCCCUUAUAAGUCACUCACAAAUACUUAUAUCCUUAUUAUCUUCAUCCUUUUCUCUUGAGUUUUUCUCUAAUUCUUUAAGAAGGAAACACGUAGCCAGGAAGUGGAGAGCCUCUCACAUACUUGGGGAGUUUUCAUAUUUCCCCCAUCAGUUCCUUUUCUGGCCUGAGCUCAUGCUCCCUAAGAUCAGGGCUUGGGCUUUGUUUUAGUCUGUGUUGUUAUAAAAGAAUAUCCAACAGUGUGUAAUUUAUAAAGAAAAGAGGUUGACUUGGCUCAUGGUUCUGCAGGCUGUACAGGAACAAGCUUGGCUCCAGCAUCUGCUUGGCUUCUAGGGAGGCCUCAGGAAGCCUUUACUCAUGGGGGAAGGCAAAGGGGAGCAGGCAUUAUGUGAGAGGAAGGAAGAGAGAGGCAGGGGAGGUGCCAGGCCCUUUUAAACAAUCAGCGCCCAUGGGAAAUAACAGAGCCAGAACUCACUCAUUAACUUCAGAAUGGCACCAAGCCAGUCAUAAGGAUCCACCUCCAUGACCCAGACACCUGCCACCAGGCCACGCCCAGUAUCAGGGAUCACAUUUUAACGUGAGACUCGGAGGGGACAAACAUCCAAAUCACAUCUGGCCCCAUAACCUUUGGAGACCUCAGCUCUGGCGCUAGGGUGGUAGGUCCCCUAAGGGUUCGUGCUCUCUGAAGGAAUUGGGUUACAUUACCUGGGAGAGCUUUCUGGAGGAAGUGAGCUUUGCUUCUCACAGGUUUCUAUAAGGAGAAGGAUGGGCUGUUGGAAAGGGAGUGAGUGUGUGUCCAAGUGAGGGAAAGUGAGGUUCAGCAUCUUGGUGCUCUUGGCUCAGCUUCCCUUUCUAUGCCAUGCACAGUGCCUCCAGGAUGCCAGGGGGUGCCAUCCCUGACCUGUUCUGGGGUGGGUGUGCAAGAUGCGAAAUGGCUAAUUUCAGUUCACUGGUAACUCUAACAUUUGGAUAAUAAUUGGCCAUAGCAUUAGCUUUGGUUAUACAUCUCCAAAUGUGUUAUUACAUUAUAUAUAUAUAUAUAUAUAUAUAUAUAUAUAUAUAUAUAUGCACACACACACGUAUACAUAUAUACACACAUCUACACUGUAUUGAUAUGUUGAUAUAUUGAUGUUAUGAAUUAUUUUAAAGAGUAUUCUAUUGAUGUAGAGGAUAAUAUGAAAUUCAAUAUUUUCUGGCACUCUUUUUAAAUGAUACUUAGGCCAUCUGAUGAAAACAGAGCUCAGUAAAGAUUUCUUAUUGAUAAAUCAACAUUACAAAUGAAGACUAGUUUCAUUGCCAUGAUCAGUAAAUUAAGGGUCAUAAAUUAACUGUUGAGUUAUUUUCUUUGCACUAUUAAGCCUUCCACUCAAUCUUUCUACAGUCUUUCUUAUUUAGCAAACGGUGUUACUUGAUAGAAACCUCUGCUGUGAUUUUGUUUUUUGAAAUUUAAUAAGAAAGCUAUAUAAUACAAUUCUCGGGGGAAAACAAGCAAGGUAGGUUUUUCACGGUAACCUCCAAGCAGAGAAAUGGUUUCAGUGCGCAGUCCAGUGAAUUUCCUCCAUAGAGUGUGCUGGAAGAAGUCACCUGGAAGUGAUCACCAGAGUGAUAUUCAGUUUGACUCUCAUUGGUUUGUAUAUAAUUGAUUAUAUAUAAAAACAAAUGCCAGGGUGAGGGUGGGACUAGAGUCCCCCUUUCAGGCUCCUCCCCUUGCAUUUCCAUCUGGUCUUGCAGCAAGUUAACCACGGUCCUAUCUUCAGGUUCAAUUACUCCCUUUAAAAAAUAGGUUUUAACACCUAUGUAUCUCUCAACAUUAUAUUGUUUUAUUUUGAAAAAUUGAAUAAUAACCACACACCUAGCUUUGGAAGCAAGAGGCUUCAUGGCCAGGAUCAGAUAAAUGAUCCUCUUAGAGUGGGUGGGACCUCAGCAUCCCAGAGCGUGUGGAAGAGUGCCUGCCAGGAAGCCACCAGACAAGGUCCUAAGUACAUGCAUGGAAACACUGGGCACGAUGCUGACUGUGGCAUGGGCCAAAAAGUGACAUGGGGCAGAACUUCAGUGGGAGGAGGGGUGCUCUGUACGUUCAGCUUCUAAGCCCACUGUGGCCUUCCUCUUAGGGUUUCACAGAGCCAAGCAGAAAAGGAGCACAGGUGACCUUGGCAGGAAGGCAUGCAUGGGAGAGCAGGUCUGCACUCUGGGACACCAGCCUCAACAGAAUACGAGUUUUGAAUUUUUGAAUUGCUGUUAAAACUUUCAUCAUGAACACUGAAGUGAGUGAAAAGAGACUUUUGCAGUCAUUUUUUUGGACAGAGAUCAUGGAAGUUGGGCCCGACUGGAUGAGAUUUGGGGGUCUUUGGAAGUGGAGAAUGUGUUUGCCCUGGGGAAGAGAGGUGAUGUCUAGGAGACCUCUUCACUCAGGGCAAGCUCUAUGACCUGCUUUGACUCCAGAAUGUGGUAGAAGUGGCAUCACAUAAAUUGCAGAGCCUAGGCUUCAAGAGACCUUGCAACUUGCCUCUCACUGACUUGAAGUGCUCCCAUCAGAGCAUCUUGUAAGGAGCAGGUGGAGCAUGUGGACAAGCCAUCCCCACCAGCCCCUGAGACAUGUGAGAGAGGCCAGAACAGGCCAUCCGGACCCCACUGUGCUGGUGGAUGAGACAGCAGAAGGAAUAUCAACCUACCAACAGAAUCCUGAGAAAUGCUCACUCUUACUUCAAGCUGCUGCAUUUUGAUGUUAUGAAACCAUAAAUAACUUAUGAAGUCAUCUUUGCUGACUUAAAGUUUUCCAUAACUUUAUUAUAACAUAUCAAAAUUAUGAAAAAUGUGAAAAGUAGAAAACUGAUGAAUUUUGCUUCUUCAUAUGGUCUUUAAGAAUCUCAAAGGCACUGAAGUUUUUUAUCUUUUCUGUCUUAGAAUAAAAAACCUUGAAUGAAAAUCUGCUUCUUGGAAAAGCAGCAAGGUUUAUGCAGAGGCAAUCUGGUAUUUGUGUGCACUGGCAGCUGAUCAUACCCAGCAUGCACGCACUCUCAGGGCAGAGUCUGAUGCCCCACAUAAUGGGGCAUGGUAAGGACUCCCAUGUCCUUGAGAUAAAAUGAUAAGGAAAAUACACACUGCUAUUAGAAUAACAGGCCCAGCUUCUGCACAUUUUAAUUCCCAAAGUUUUCAUGAAAGACAAUGAUUUUUUGGUACCAUGUUUAACUCUACAAGAAUCAGUAGUGAAAACUAAAAAUGAUACUUUGUGAAAGUUCAUUAAUUUUGUUUUCAGCCAGUGGUGGCCUUGGUCAGAUAGAAUCAAAUCUAUGAUACUUUUUAUCAGAAAUGCUUAUACUGUGUACAAACCCAAAGUGAUGGCUUUCAAAGAUUGAAUUUGAUUAUUUUCUGUAUGGUGCAGAUGAAAAAUUACUACACAGGAGAAGGUGGGUUGGAGGUGCUCACGAGUAACCAGGAAACAGUCUGAAGUUUUUCUGAUACUUCUCCUUGGUCCAACCAAAUGUGAGAUAUAAACACAAACUUGGGAUUCCGUUCUUAUGUUUUGGUUGUUUCAGUCUUUACAGAUGUAUCGAAAGGCUGUCCAAAAAUGUCUGACUUCUGUAGUGUGCCUUCGUAGCACUAGAGGGUUCUGCAGCUGUGAAACUGAAGGCAUUGGCAAGAAGCCCUCCAUCUUCAAACCACUUUCUGCUAAGGUGUGGCUCUAUAAAACCACUAUGAGCUGGGCUUCACUGAGACUGAGUUGUUUCAGUAGGAUCUUCCGGAAAAACAUGUUCCCUCCUUUACCUGGGUUGUCAUUCUGAGAACAAUCACACCUCCAAUUUUGGCUUACUAAGCAAUAGCGUUUUAAUGAUUUUAAGCCAGGAUUUGCUCCUCCUUUCCUCAGUAUGAGAGCUUAACCACUGGAGGAACCAAGAAUUCAUGCUGGUUGGGUUCUGAUUCCACUUUAACUUACUGUAUAGCCUCAUCCCUUGUUUUUCUGGAGAUUCUCUUUUUCUGCUUCACUGAUUUAUAUUUACAUUAAAAUCAAAUGAGGCCAUGUUUCUGAAAUCACAUUGUCCCUACAUGGUCAUUACAAUGAGUCUGUAAUGUGACUGAAAGACAGCCAUGGAUACAGGUAGAGGAUAUCAGGCAAUUGAAUGCUCAUCAAGCAUUCAAUUCAGGGCAAAUGGCAUAAGGUAUGCAGUUGGCCUCUUCUGAUAUCUGUGUCUUAAUCCUUUCUUUAGCCUCUGUUUUCUGGACCAAGGCUAAGAUAUUUUCUGGGCACAGUGGCUCAUGCCUAUAAUCCCAGCACUCUGGGAGGCCAAGGUGGGAGGAUUUCUUCAGCCCAGGAGUUCGAGACCAGCCUGGGGAACAUAGGAGACCUCAUUCCUACAAAUAAUAAAAAAAAUUAGCCAGCUCUGGUGGCGUGUGCUUAUUGGUCUCAGCUACUUGGGAGGCUGAGGUGGGAGGACUGCUUGAGCCCAGAAGAUCGCAGCUGCAUUGAGCCAUGAUUGUGCCACUGAACCCUAGCCUGAGCAACAGAGCAAGGCCUUAUCUCAAAAAAAAAAAAAAAUUCUGAGCCUUCUAAUUUUUUUUUUCUUUAAUUAACUUUCUGUAAGCCCAGCAAGUAAAUAAAACACUUAUUUUAUGAAGCAUCUAGUUGCUUUUAGGGGAAGGGACAUCCUCCGCAUAGUAUCUAGGCCAGCUCACUUUCUUCUCCUUACUGUUGAUUUACUCUCUGCCAUUGAAUCUUCUGUGCCAAUGUUGGAUUAAUGUUUCCGGGCCCUACUUUCAUCAUGCUCCUCUGUAUUAUCACCUGUUUUGGUUUACAGCAAUGAUUUUUAAGGUAAGGCAUGGUGUGUCCAUCAUAGUCACAUGGGAACUUUUUCAAGCCAUAUUAAAAAUGUCCCCCAUUCAUCAUUCUGCCCCUGGAACAGUGUGUGCAGUUGGGACCUUCAAGUAAAUCUACUUUGUUGAAACCCACUGAUCAGCAUGGUGUAUUUCAUAACUCUUUGACUUACAUUCAAGAAAUUCCUUAACCUGAACUCCAUUUUACUCUUUUUUUCAUUCAUUCAAAUUAAGAAUAUUGCCUGAACAUGAAUUAUCUGCUAGACGUUUUUCUAGGUGCAGGAGGAGUAAGGAUGAACAUAACUAGCCAUAACUAUAGCUAUCAAUUGUGGAGUGUCUGUUAUGUGCCAGGCACUUUUAAGUGACCUACUCGAUUUACUUGCAUGACAAACUGUGAGGAAAAGCCCAAUAUUAUCCCCUAUUAACAGAUGAGGAAACUGAAGCACAAACAGCAUGAAUAGUUUGUUCCAGAUUGCAUCAUAAGAGGCACAGCCAGCUUUCCUACCAAAGCAGCCCUGGCCCAGAGUCCGUACUCCCUCCUCCCCUGCCUCUGCCUGGUGGAUAAGGUCACCCUGGCCUUGUGGAACUUAUGCUCUAGUGGGGACAAAUAGUUAUAGAGAAUGACCGAUGUUACUAAGAAAAUAAAAGCUGGUAAGAAAACAGAAGCACUGAGGAGGUGACUGAAGUGAGCAUUUAUAAUUUUAUGUUAUAUCCAUUGUAAAAUAUAAGUUUAGCUUUCUCAUACCAGAAGCAGGGCUCAGUCCACCCUUGACUCAGUUUCCAAUACUGUUCCCCAUCAGAAUGGCUCUUGCUGGUGGCCAGAAGUAAAACUUAGAAAUAUCUCUCUCAGAGACACCUAAGCAGGCUGGGCUCCCCGGUUUCCUGUUGCUUCCUUUAAAGAAGCUCUUCAGACAUCUGCACAAGAACUCAAAGUGACCACCUCUCAGCCCAGCAUGACCUACUGGAACUAAUGCCUGCUUGCUUUCAACCUACCAAUUAAAGCUCCCCAGGAAACCUGUUUAGAUAACACCCUGGACCCAAGAAAGGUGCUGGGCCAUGGGUUUCUUCUCUCUCUCCCUAUCUGUGCUCCCUGACCCCCUGUGUGUGUGUGGUCUCUAGGCUUGCCUUCUAUCCCUGAGGGUCUGUAAAUACUAAAAACACUUAAACUUUCAUAUUGUAGUUGUGUCUUUGAAGCCAGGUCCCCAUCCCGUACCUUGAGGGCAAGGCCUCCUGGAAGGGACCCAUGUAGGUGGAUCCCCUGCUGUCCAGGCCUCUUAGCUGCUGGGGUAGUGACCAGUUAAGUGGAUAGAGUUUCAUUCAAAACAAUAAUCAUUCAACUGUAUCUCACAUCAAACCUCUGCUCUAGUUUAUGUAUCUACUUUAUGUUCUUAGAAGACUGUGCAAACACAUUGUCUUUUUUGAGUACCUGUCUUGUCCUAGGUACUCUGCUUGGUACGGGGAGAGACGAAUCUUCUGUCUUCAGGGGCUUCCACUCCAGCAGGGAGAACAUGACUAAUAGUGACUGCCUGCUGCUGUAGGUAAUAAGUGGCUCCCACUAGGCCCUCCAUUUGGUGGCCCCCUGUCCCUCUCACUGGUGGAAGCCUACCUGUCCUCUAAGGACCAGCUCACUAAUGUCCUAGAUCCUCACGGACCAGAUUGCUUUUCUCAGAACUGAAGAGCACUUACUAAUGGCACCUCUUGUCAUAUGCCAUCCCAGGAUUUGAAUUUUUUUUUUUUUUCUGUCUUGUGGCCCAAAUAAAUCCUGAACUCCUCGAGGGCUGGGAGUGUAUCUAGCAGUUUCCUUAUACUGGACUAAUCAGAUGCUGACUAGGUAGCAGUGAGAAAAAUCUAGAAAUUCCCUUUUAGCCACAUCGACUUACACGAGGGGAUGUGUGUAAGGUACUAUAGCUCUUUAAACAAGAGGUGGUCUCGUUUGAAGGGUGGAUUGAUGUGGGUGUUCAAAUGAUGUCACAAGUGGCUGGUUUCUCUGUCUCCAUUUCUUUUUUUUUUGGCUCCAUUUCCAAAUUUCCCAGAUAGCACAGCAAGUUGGCCCCAGCAGCUCUAGACACUCCAUCUUCUCAGGGCAUAGCCAACACAAUAAAAUAUUUCAAGUUCCUGAAAGAUAGCUGAAAUAAGCCCUAGAAGUUUCUGGAUUGGGAGCAGAGCCAAACCUGCCAGCUCACAUAGAUGAGGGCAGGGAAUAGGGUGUCUCACGAUCACAGUGUCCUGCCUUCUGAUUUGCCUGGGACUGUCCUGUUUUGGCACCAAAAAUAUCUGCAUCCUAGGAAACCCUCAGGUCCUGGGCAAAUUCAGACAGUGACUUGCCCUAUCAGAAGCAAAGCAAGGUGCCAUUACCUGAGGUGGGCAAAUUCAGACAGUGACUUGCCCUAUCAGAAGCAAAGCAAGGUUGCCAUUACCUGAGGUGGGCAAAUGGAGGCUGGGUGGCCAGUGAGUGACCAAUAACCCCAGCAUUGGAGAGAGUGGAGCAGCCCUUCAAGAAGUUCCAACCUCUGCCCAGGACUGGUUUUACCAACUUCACUAGGCUUAGAAUCGUAGGAAGUCUAUUUGGGACUUGCGAGUCUCACGUAUUCCUGCCUAAAUGUUUAUGGAUACCUGUUUAGAGCUGAAAUCUUUUCAGCUCCCAUAAUAUGAGGGAAUUAGGUCUCAAAGAAGAUCAUGUAUUUUGAUCAGACCUUAUAGCUGAGCAGUGGAAAGAAAAAAAAUCAGUGUGAGAUCUCCCAGGGUUCCGCAGGAGUGGCUUCCUUAGUCCAACUGGCAGCCUAUCCUGGAAUAUUGCCUGGGAGAGAGGUUAGUUGCUUUUCCUGGUGCUAGGAACUGAAUGGUUUUACAUAUUGAUCAAUGAAAAUACUUAUUUGGCCUACAAUAGGUGCAAAAAUACUGCUAAUUACUAACAGUAUCUCUUCUUUGCUGCGUGCCAGACACUCCACUGGGCAUUAUGCAGUUAAUAUGUACCAUGAAUUUCCCGUGGUUAGCAAUGAUGUCAGGCAUAGAAAAGACAUGAAAUUAUGAUGUCAAAUGAAUAAACUGGAAAAAGGAAUUUCUUGAAUUUUCUCCAGCUGUCCUAAGAAUGUAUCUAUACUUUGAUCCUGGCCUACCUUUUCAACAUCUAAACUUUAUUCCCCCAAGCUUCUAGAUAUUCAAAGUUAAGUAUUAAAUAAAAUCAGUAAAUAUAUACAAGCUUGUUUGGCCAUUCUGAAUAAGGUUAUAUUUCCACCACACAAUCUCCAAAUUCUCUAGCAGAAGGGAUCAGUAUGUUAUAGAUACCCCCUUUCCUUCCCUCCCUGGCAAGCCACCACAUCUGUUAUGGGUACUCAAUGCAGUGGCUGCACCUGGGCCUCACUCAUUAAGCAGUUGUUGAUUGAGUGACUGAAUUGAAUGCCUGAUGAGCUCGCAAGUAAGAUUCAGACUGUGCCUGCAAACUAAUAGGAUCCCUCCGCUUUUUAUUCACUACUGCUGAGGUAGAUCUCAGGCCAGCCUGAAGUUUAGGUCUACUGAGAAAUAAUAAGCCUCAAAAAUCGAGCUUUGCUUCACCCAGUCUCCCAGUAAACACUAAGAAAUGUUCACAUUAUUUACACAUCCUAGACUGCCUGUCUUAUGGACCAAAUGUUUGUGUUCUCCCCGCAAUUUAUACAUUGGAAUCCUAACCCUCAAUGUAAUAGCAUUAGGUGCUGGGGUCUUUGGGAGGUGAUUGGCUAAUGGACCUGGAGCCCUCAUGAUGGGAUGAGUCCCCUUAUCAGAAGAGACCUGAGAAGGCUUGCUUCCUCUCCCUGUGCUCUUCAUGAUGUGAAGACACAAGAAGACAGCCAUCUGUGGGCCAGGAAGAGGUCCUCACUGGAACCCAACCAUGCUGGCACCCCAAUCUUGAAUUUCUAGCUUCAAGAACUUGGGAAAUAAAUGUAAGCCAGCCAGCUUAUGGAUUUGUUACAGCAGCCUAAGCUAAGUCAGAGUCUCUAGAACAGCUGGUCUGGGGCAGCGGUGAAGGGAGGUGGGUGGGCAUAUGACCCUGCCCUGCACAUGAAUGGCAAAGGCAACUGGAGAGCCUCUCCCUUUUGGUGAGAUCCCCAGUCCACAAGGGCAUGUUCAUCCAUAGCUUUACUUCCCGAAGCAAAUUCUGGUUCCUGGGGCCUGUGCCUCCAUAGAUGGCAUGAUCUGCAGCCUCCUGUGGUAAUUUACCCUCUUCCUAAAUUUCUGAGUCUUCACAUUUAAGCAAUCCUAGUUAGAUAUCCUCUACCUGUAUCCAUGGCUGUCUUUCAGUCACAUUACAGACUCAUUGUGAUGACCAUGUAGGGACAAUGUGAUUUCAGAAACAUGGCCUCAUUUGAUUUUAAUGUAAAUAUAAAUCAGUGAAGCAGAAAAAGAGAAUCUCCAGAAAAACAAGGGAUGAGGCUGUACAGCAAGUUAAAGUGGAAUCAGAACCCAACUGUAGUCCAUUAUUUGUUUCAAUCCUGCUCUUUUCUACCAUAUCACCCAGUUUCCAAAUCGUUCAGCAAAUUGCCAUGGUCAAUGGGAUUAACCUUUCCCUUUUAUUCUCAGGAAAUCUCCCUUGUCCAUUUUGCAAGACUGUGUGAUUCUUUCUACUGUUACAAGGAAUAAAAGCCUUCCUAAAAAGGUCUUUGGUGCCUUUAUUAUUUUACGGAUCAUUUCUGAGGGAAUUAUUGAACUUCAUUAUGUAACCACCCCUUGGGUUCACCUUGCCCACUGCCUAGACAGAGCCAAUUUAUCCAGACAGGAGAAUUGCAAUGGAGAAAGAGUAAUUC